rnacentral:rRNA from 1 species
GUGAGGAAUAUUGGACAAUGGACGCAAGCCUGAUCCAGCCAUGCCGCGUGCAGGAAGACGCAUCUAUGGUGUGUAAACUGCUUUUGUACGGGAAGAAACACUCCCUCGUGAGGGAGCUUGACGGUACCGUAAGAAUAAGGAUCGGCUAACUCCGUGCCAGCAGCCGCGGUAAUACGGAGGAUCCAAGCGUUAUCCGGAAUCAUUGGGUUUAAAGGGUCCGUAGGCGGUUUAAUAAGUCAGUGGUGAAAGCCCAUCGCUCAACGAUGGAACGGCCAUUGAUACUGUUAGACUUGAAUUACAAGGAAGUAACUAGAAUAUGUAGUGUAGCGGUGAAAUGCUUAGAUAUUACAUGGAAUACCAAUUGCGAAGGCAGGUUACUACUUGUGGAUUGACGCUGAUGGACGAAAGCGUGGGGAGCGAACAGGAUUAGAAACCCGGGUAGUCC